GAGUAUAGUUGAUCUACAGUAUUGUGCCAAUUUCUGCUGUACAGCAUAGUGACUCGGUCAUGCAUCAACAUAUUCUUUUUCUCAUACUAUCUUCCAUCAUAUUCUAUCUCAAGAGACUGUAUAUAGUUCCUUGUGCUGUACAGUAGGACCUCAUAAUUUCCCAAGAGAAAGAACCUUAUUUCCUAGUAUGUUCCACUAAUCUCCGAGACCCACAGCCUAGAAGAAAACUAUCUGUUUUCCACAUGGCUUCUCUCUGUUCUAAAUCCUGACAGACUCUUUCUUCCUGCACAAACACAAAAAAGGAAAGGAACCAAAGUCAUCCCCAUCUCCUUUGCCGUCCCUAAAAGAGCCUAUAACUAUCUUUUUUCAAUCAGAGAAACUGUUAUUUUGGGAAACCAGCCACUCGCUCCAAGAUGGCUUUCUGUAUUCUUUUUCAGUUCCAAAAACUGAGAUUGAUUCUUUCUUAAGGAAGCUCUAAAACACUCUCUCUCCCUCCCUCUCCUUUCUCCCUCUCUCUCUCUCUCUCUCAAACACACACACACACACACACACACACACACACACACACACACACUCACACCAGUUCUGUUAUGGUUUCCUGUCACCAAGCAAAAAUUAUAUGAUGCCAAAAACAUCAGUUGCCCAAUUUAGCGCUAUACCCUCAUUGAUUUGACGUGUUAUUUAAAUCCGGAGUGCCUGCCGUGCACCCAGGAUCAUGUCAGAUGCCAGGUGUACCCUGGUGAGUAAACAGACGUGGCCCACGCCCUUGAGAAUUUAACUAUCCCGACCUUCACUAAUCUUAUUUCCCGAAACCAGGACACACUUCCAGAGAUAGCUCUGGUUUCCAAAACCACCACAGGCUGCAUGUAAAGAAGCCCCAGCAGGACUGUCAGAGGUUGGCCCUGACCACAAUUUACUGAUGAAGCAUAUCACGGCAUGCCCAGAUGAACCUGUAAAUAAAGGCAGUCUCUAUCUGGCCAUUGAACAGUGGCAUCCAGCCCACCGUGCUGAUUCGGCUGGCAUGGAGUGGCAGCCCCUUGCAGACACACAGUCCCAAAGUAGCUUCAGUGAGGACAGAUGUUCACCUGUCAUUCCCAAGCCAUCCAACCUCUUCUCCCUCAAUCUAAAACCUAUCAGAAGCUUUCUGAAGUUCACCAGCACACCGAACAGCAAACAGUUGUAAUAUUUCACCAGCUACCUAAGUUGUUUCAUAUCAAGCUGCCUAUCCGAACAUUAACAUUUAACACUUGUAAUAUUUACACAUGGAAACAGCGCUGCUGGGCAAGAUGAAGCCAGUUUCGUUCACUAUCUUCUGCUAAAAUUUUCCUGAAGCUGAGCUCUCUCCAUCACAAGGCUUACCUGUAUGGAGAGGGCACUGCUUCUAGAAUCAUCUUGAUUGAGAAUUCAUAUGAUGUAAAAAGCAUAUGAAAAAACAUCAGAAUAUGUAGACAUUAUGUGAUCAGACAAUCAGUAAAAACUUCAGAUGCAGAUUAAUGUAUUGUUCACAAUGAUGAGCCGUAAUGAUGUCUAUGAAUUGCUUUUACAGAAGCCUGCAAAUUAAAAGGAUGAUCUCUCCGCAUUACAUGAAAAUACAUAACGCUCACCGUUUAUGUUAAAUGAGGAGAUGAAAGGACCCCUUCUGCUUUUCUCACCAUAAUGAAAAUAUAAU
rnacentral:lncRNA from 1 species